UCAUCUCAGGUUAGCUGGAAUGUCACAUCGCUCAAGUGUGCCCUCGGGGGCAGCUCCUGUUAUUUUAAGGGGUCAUGUACAUUUAUCCAAGCAAUGAAUAAAGAAGCACCCAAAGGUUGGAAUAAGAGGCCCGAGCAGAGCCACGGCUGAAAGGACAAAAAACAACAUUUACUUUGGAGGAGUGGGUUUCGACAAGGAACCUUUUUUCAAAGGUCAAAGGUCAAAGAUGGCAGGCACCUGUCAUUAGCUGACUUUUGGCCUGGCUCAAUGGACCUUGGACUCUUGGCCAUCCACCCAAGAGACCAUAACUACUGACUUACAGAGAUUCUUCAAUGAAAGGGAAUCUGUUAGAGUGCUUUCACUGAGAGCCAGUAUAUUUUGUGGAGACUCACCCGUUUCCCCCACCACACACACAGAUGGAAGGGGAGUGAGAAUUCAAUCUUUCCUUGCCUCACAGUCAUCUGCAGAAAUGCAUUCGUUCACCCUUCGUGGCAGGGCCCCAAAACCUGCCAAUAAUCGUCCACCAGGGCGGGAAAGAAUCACUGCAGGUACCAAGCUUUCCUCAUGUGAUCUAUUUCCAAUCUGUAAAGUCCCACAGGUAGAUUAGGGACAAGUGGAAACACGCUAUAAGGAGUAGAAGUGGUCUUCAACCGCAGGGAUCCUGUGGAACUUGUGGAAAACAAGCAUACAGUAUACCAUUCAAGAGACAAUCAUAAGGGAAUUAUACUUUUU
rnacentral:lncRNA from 15 species